AUAUAAGUAAGCAUGGAGAUUUCGGAAAAGAUGGAGGGAAGUUUUGCGACUCCCGGUCAUUUUUCUUUGGAUAUUAUCGAAGAAGGCCGUCGAGAUAUUUAUAAAUGGGGAGAGAAGAGGCGGUCAAAACGCUCUGGUUUUCACGGAGCGCUUUAUAAAACCACGAAAUUGUUUAUUACAAGAUCGCUUGUUCAAGCUUCUUGCACGAAUUUCAUGUUUGUUGUGUUGUU